rnacentral:rRNA from 1 species
UACGUAGGGGGCAAGCGUUAUCCGGAAUUACUGGGUGUAGAGGGAGCGUAGACGGUGAUGCAAGUCUGGAGUGAAAGGCGGGGGCCCAACCCCCGGACUGCUCUGGAAACUGUAUGACUGGAGUGCAGGAGAGGUAAGCGGAAUUCCUAGUGUAGCGGUGAAAUGCGUAGAUAUUAGGAGGAACACCAGUGGCGAAGGCGGCUUACUGGACUGUAACUGACGUUGAGGCUCGAAAGCGUGGGGAGCAAACAGG